rnacentral:lncRNA from 1 species
GUGGCAAUUAAAAUCAAAUUUACAUUUUCACAUGGUUUAACAUCAGAUAUAAUAUAUAAGGUGACAACCAUUUGAUAUCUGAGGGAGGAUAGGAGGAUUGUUUUUAGUAUUUCCUCUCAAGUAUGUCUGCUGCUCACAUCUGAUAGUGACAAGCCAAGAGAACAGUGUAGGAGUGUGUCAGUAUCCGCUUUUAUUUUCAUUGUCAUUGCCAAUAAUGUGUUUUGCCAACAAGUGCAUACCGAGAAACGGGGUGUCAUGCAGACGCACGAUAUUUACAAUGUCAAUUUCUAUAUUAUACAAGAUUAUUUCGAUUUCCAUUAUGAGUGAGAUCGUUGUCCUGGUUUCUAAGUUUUUUAGUUUUUUUUAGUUG